AUUGAACGCUGGCGGCAGGCCUAACACAUGCAAGUCGAACGAGUGGCGGACGGGUGAGUAAUGUCUGGGAAACUGCCCGAUGGAGGGGGAUAACUACGGGAAACGGUAGCUAAUACCGCAUACCAUCGGAUGUGCCCAGAUGGGAAUAGCUAGUAGGUGGGGUAAUGGCUCACCUAGGCGCAGAUCCCGAGCUGGUGUGAGAGGAUGACCAGCCCCACUGGAACGGAGACACGGUCCAGACUCCUACGGGAGGCAGCAGUGGGGAAUAUUGGACCAUGAGCGCAAGCCUGAUGCAGCCAUGCCGGGUGUAUGCAGAAGGCCUUCGGGUUGUAAAGUACUUUCAGCGAGGAGGCGUUACUCGCAGAAGAAGCACCGGCUAACUCCGUGCCAGCCGCCGCGGUAAUAC
rnacentral:rRNA from 1 species